rnacentral:snRNA from 1 species
GUAUUCGUUUUGGCAGCACAUAUACUAAAACUGGAACCAUCAAGAGAUUAGCAUGGCCCCUUUGCAAGGUUGGCAAUCAAAUUAAAGCAUUCUAUAAUUUA